rnacentral:rRNA from 1 species
GACGAACGCUGGCGGCGUGCUUAACACAUGCAAGUCGAACGGUGAAGGGGAGCUUGCUCCCUGGAUCAGUGGCGAACGGGUGAGUAACACGUGGGCAACCUGCCCCUGACUUCGGGAUAACGCUUCGAAAGAGGUGCUAAUACCGGAUAUGAACCCUGAGGGCAUCCUCGGGGUUGGAAAGUUUUUCGGUCAGGGAUGGGCCCGCGGCCUAUCAGCUUGUUGGUGAGGUAGUGGCUCACCAAGGCGACGACGGGUAGCCGGCCUGAGAGGGCGACCGGCCACACUGGGACUGAGACACGGCCCAGACUCCUACGGGAGGCAGCAGUGGGGAAUAUUGCGCAAUGGGCGAAAGCCUGACGCAGCAACGCCGCGUGAGGGAUGAAGG